GUCACACACCUGGCAAAUCCCUGCAAGUUCUGACCAGCCCUACACAGAGCUCCAGAUUUGAGUUCACCAGCUGCUGCCUGGAACCAGCACGUCACCUCCCCUAAAAUAUGCAGAAAAGCCAUUAACUCUGCAUUUUGUAUCCACUGCCUGUCCUUGCAAUCUCCACUCUCCCAUCACAACAUGUCUGUGCUACAGCAAUUAACGUGUUCCUGUUAGUAGUUUUUUUUCUCCCCAGCAGCUAGUGAAGAGUUACACAGCUCCAAAAAGUUACAGUUCAACAUCCAUCCAAGGCAGAGCUGCACCACUGAGGUCUCCAGGCUGGCUUGGCAAGGCAAGAUGGGACUUCUGUGAUAGCAUGGCUGCUUCCAGCACCUGAACUGUGACUGCUGCACGCUGAGGGGGAGUCGUCUGCCACCUAGUCAGCUCAUCCCACGCUCCACACGCAGUGCAGGUGUACUGCAGAAGGAACAAGGACAACUUUCCACUUACUGUGAUCCACCUGACUGAGCACAGGAUCCACUUCCCUACGCAAUGCCAUCCCGGAUUCCUUGACAUGCCUGCUGAAGAUGCACAAGUAUCACGCACAGCUCUUGGAAAACAAGAAGUCUUGAUGUUAACAGCACUGAAGAGAGAU